rnacentral:rRNA from 1 species
GAUGAACGCUGGCGGCGUGCCUAAUACAUGCAAGUCGAGCGAACGGACGAGAAGCUUGCUUCUCUGAUGUUAGCGGCGGACGGGUGAGUAACACGUGGAUAACCUACCUAUAAGACUGGGAUAACUUCGGGAAACCGGAGCUAAUACCGGAUGAUAUUUUGAACCGCAUGGUUCAAAAGUGAAAGACGGUCUUGCUGUCACUUAUAGAUGGAUCCGCGCUGCAUUAGCUAGUUGGUAAGGUAACGGCUUACCAAGGAAACGAUGCAUAGCCGACCUGAGAGGGUGAUAGACCACAGUGGCACGGCGACAGGGGCGAGCGCCCGAGGGGGGGCGCCGUGGGGAAUUCUCCCGAAAGGGGCAAAGGCCGGACGGGGCACCGCGGGGUGAGUGAUAAGGGUUUGGGGUUCUUAAAACUUUGUUAUAGGGAAAAAAAAUUUGUGUAAGUAACUGUCCACACCUGGCCGCCCCCUAAUAAAAAGCCCCCGGCUAACUAGGCC